UUUCUCUCAAGCAUCGAAACGUAUGAUUCAGUUUACGAAAAAAUGGUCAAAAGAAUAGAUACAUUCCUUCGUGUCAAAUCCUCCUAUAUAUACGCUCUACCGGGAGCUGUAGUGAAGCCAUAACAUGGGACAGGACAAGAAUGUCUAUGGACAGGAUCAAAGCAGACGAUUGAUUCAGGAAGGACUAUGAACCGACAAUUCCCGACGAUGAUGAGGGAGUCACCAAUAUUGACGGGCCAGUCUUCUCAUUGAAGGAAGUGGUAUGAGAUGAUUGGAUAUUCAUUGUGCCUUCCUAAACUUCGAUCUGUUUUGCAUGACCAUGAACUCAAAUGCAAGAGCGCGAGGGCCGCUGGAGUCCUAGUUGCCUUAGUACUGUUUCUGCAGAGGUAAUGGAAAUUAAUUCUCAAGGCAUGAAAGCUCUAUUUACUGCUUAUACAUUUCGAGCCCGAUCUCAUGCUUUUAUCGGGCCUGUUUCUUUUCCUCUUUCUUCAUUUUUGAGACAAGCCCGUAAUUAUUAUGUAGUCGAGCUAAGGAAGUCAUUCGGAGAUUCUUCGAGUUAUAGACAGUUAUGUAAGAGGUUAUCAAACGAGCUUGGGGUACCGCAAGCCACACAAAGAGCUCAUGGCCUGAGAAUUAUGAAGAGAAGAGAAAACUAUGGAAAGGAAAUUAUUCUUAGUUAAUAGUGUGCGAAUUAUUUGGAUUUUAUAUAUAUUUAUGAUGUGGUAGGUUGUGAAUAUUUAGGCAGAAGAGGGAAAACUGUAAAAAUUUGAGUUUCUGGUAAGAAGAAUCAAUUGAAAUUCUGAAGAGAAAAAAAAAAAAGAAAAAAAGAAGGAAAUUACAUAUAAAC